AACCAACGCAGUAUCUACUGUAGCAAUUUUGUCAGUAAAAAUUUUAUCUAGAUUCACACCAGCUUACUUAAGUUAAGCCUUGCCACGCAAAAACCUGCCCGGUAUUUACGAAGAACAUCCUACUUUGGUCAAAUAUUUCAAGACCCUAUUUAGGAAAUUCAACUCAGAAAGUAUCUAUCUAGUGCCAGUGAAACGCAAUCGAGAUAAAGUUUGCCUGACUUGAAACUGGCUGUAGAUUGGAUUAGCACAAAAAAGAUAUUCAGCUUUUGUACAUCGUGCAAACUGCUGGGGAUUCCACAUCCAGCGAACUAAAACAACUGAGCAUCCAAGCUACAUAACUGAGACCAGAUUACCUUCAUACUCUGCGAAUUGCGCAACUGGUGGGAACCUACAAGAGUCAAAUAAGAAGCUGAAAGGAGUUUACAAUGAAUGCCUUGAUCUUAUAAUAAACGAAAUCAAGCGACGCUUCUCAGAGAAUCAAGAGCUAGUUACUGCGAUUACCAAUAUUAGCGAAUUCAAAACGGAUGAUUUGAAUAGCUUUAGAGAACUAGGUUUGAAAGUUCCUAGCGAAGAAGAAUUAACAGUCGAGAAAAACUUGUUCAAGAAUCGAAAGGAACAGGCUGACGAUGGAAUUAAGUUGGAGGUACUUUUCAGAUUUCGUGAAGCUUUCAGUGAUACGUUCGAGCUGAUGGCAGCUGUUGAGACAUUUGGGUGCAAUACAGCAACUUACGAAUCAACGUUUUCGGCAUUGACCGCAAUUAAUAGGCCGCAACGCUAAUCCAUGACCCAUGCCCGCAUGUCUGAUCUCGUCUACUUAGCUUUUGAAAGACAUCGUACACUUGCAAUUGAUAUCGAUAUGAUUCUCCGAAAAUUUAAUAAUAACAAAAAUCGUAAACUGCCAUUGUACUAAGUAUCUAUUCUUAACAAUAUUUUUUGUAUGUUUUGUUUUAAGCAUUAAUUGAAAAUUGAAUAUUAUCAUAAAAAAAUGUAGUCCACAAAUAAAUUUAACCAAUUAUUCAUUUAA